UGGGGAAUAUUGCACAAUGGGCGCAAGCCUGAUGCAGCAACGCCGCGUGAACGAUGAAGGUCUUCGGAUCGUAAAGUUCUGUUGCAGGGGAAGAUAAUGACGGUACCCUGUGAGGAAGCCCCGGCUAACUACGUGCCAGCAGCCGCGGUAAUACGUAGGGGGCUAGCGUUAUCCGGAUUUAUUGGGCGUAAAGGGGGCGCAGGCUGCUUCUUAAGUCUGAUGUGAAAGCCCACGGCUUAACCGUGGAAGUGCAUUGGAAACUGGGAAGCUUGAGUACAGAAGAGGAAAGUGGAACUCCAUGUGUAGCGGUGGAAUGCGUAGAUAUAUGGAAGAACACCAGUGGCGAAAGCGACUUUCUGGUCUGUCACUGACGCUGAGGCCCGAAAGCGGGGGUAGCAAACAGG
rnacentral:rRNA from 1 species